rnacentral:rRNA from 1 species
AGAGUUUGAUCCUGGCUCAGAAUCAACGCUGGCGGCGUGCCUAACACAUGCAAGUCGAACGAGAAAGUGGAGCAAUCCAUGAGUAAAGUGGCGACCGGGUGAGUAACACGUGACUAACCUACCUCCGAGUGGGGAAUAACUCCGGGAAACCGGGGCUAAUACCGCAUAACAUCGCAAGAUCAAAGCAGCAAUGCGCUUGGAGAGGGGGUCGCGGCUGAUUAGCUAGUUGGCGGGGUAACGGCCCACCAAGGCGAAGAUCGGUAUCCGGCCUGAGAGGGCGCACGGACACACUGGAACUGAAACACGGUCCAGACUCCUACGGGAGGCAGCAGUGGGGAAUUUUGCGCAAUGGGGGAAACCCUGACGCAGCAACGCCGCGUGGAGGAUGAAGCCCCUUGGGGCGUAAACUCCUUUCGACCAAGACGAUAAUGACGGUACUGGUGGAAGAAGCACCGGCUAACUCUGUGCCAGCAGCCGCGGUAAUACAGAGGGUGCGAGCGUUGUUCGGAAUUAUUGGGCGUAAAGGGCGCGUAGGCGGUGCCACAAGUCACUUGUGAAA